rnacentral:rRNA from 1 species
AUGCACCGUGCACCUACCGCAGGGCAGCUGUCAGCCUGGCACGUACGACUCCCAACCCGAAACAAGAUGUUCGUGCGGUCGUGCUCCCUUUCUUCUUGGUCGGCGGCGGGAGCAGCAGCAGUAGCCGCGCGCGCCCCGGCGAGCCCUCCUCCUCUCCCCUCCUCCCCGGCCACGCCGCCGCCCAAGCCCGGGUCCAGGUCCAUGGCCACCUCCGGCGCCGGCGCCGGAGCCGGCCGGGUCCGCCUCGCGGUCGUCGGCGAUGUGCAUGAUGAUUGGAUCCUUGAUGAAGAUACAAAGGCACUCCAUUUUCUUCAGCCAGAUCUGGUGCUUUUUACAGGUGAUUAUGGCAACGAGAAUGUCCAACUUGUCAAAAGCAUUUCGGAUCUUCAGUUUCCGAAGGCGGCAAUUCUUGGUAAUCAUGAUUGCUGGCGUACACAUCAAUUUUCAGAGAAGAAGGUAGAUCGUGUCCGGCUUCAGCUUGAAAGCCUUGGUGAGCAGCAUGCUGGAUAUCAAUGUUUGGAUUUUCCAACAAUAAAGUUGAGUGUUGUUGGUGGGCGACCAUUUUCUUGUGGGGGUGACAGGUUAUUUAGACCAAAGCUUCUGUCACAACGGUAUGGUGUCGAUGAUAUGUCAGGAAGUGUGAGGAAGAUAUACGAUGCUGCUACGGCUGCACCAGAGGAGCAUUCUGUCAUACUACUUGCACAUAAUGGACCAACAGGUCUAGGUUCAAGAAUCGAUGAUAUCUGCGGGCGGGAUUGGGUAGCUGGCGGUGGCGAUCAUGGCGAUCCAGAUCUGGAACAGGCGAUAUCCGACCUGCAAAGGGAAACCGGGGUUUCGAUCCCGCUGGUCGUGUUUGGGCACAUGCACAAGAGCUUAGCCUACGGGGGAGGCCUUAGGAAGAUGAUCGCCUUCGGAGCCAACAACCAGACCAUAUAUCUGAACGGAGCGGUCGUGCCUAGGGUGAAGCCUGCAGAAGCAAUGAGCCCCUCCACGAUCUCCACCAGCGAAAGAGACGAGCUCCAAGAAUCGGCAUCUGUGGGGCCCAUGUCACGGGCGUUCACCACUGUCGACCUCUUCGACGGCACCGUCGAGAAGAUCUCUGAGGUCUGGGUUCUUGUGAGCGGGGCCCAGGCUGAGCUCGAGGAGGAGACUGUCCUGUACAAGCGUCCUCGUGAGCAUAUGUGA